CAGCGUGGGGCAGCACCCUCCCUGUCCGCAGUAGGAACACGGCUUCCAGCACAUUCCAGCCCCACAAAUUACAGGCUGGGCUCUGCCAGGGGUGUUUCCGAAGAGGGCACUAGCAAUUUGGGGUUGUCUGCCACCUACAGCGCUCGCCAGUCGCCCUCACUCAGUGCCAGCCCGUGAGGCUGAGUCACAAACCACCCCUGCCGGCUACACGGGGCUGGGCUCCGGGCCUGGGGGACAGGAGGGGAGGGUGCAGAUGGUGGCAGGCACAACAGGCACCCCAAUUAGAAAAUGACAGUGUGGCCGGGACCCCAGCUCAGCCCACUGCUCUUCCCCCCACCCCCGUCCCUCAGACCAACCCAACACCCAGCAACCGAGAUGCGGGCCGCUUUCCUCCACGGAAGCCACGGCUGCGGCAGCCCCCCUCUCGGGCAGACCUGGAGGGCCUGGGACCUGUUCCCAGACUCCUCCACCCCUUCUCACCUCCCCUCCUCUCCAGGAAGCAAAGUGGAGGGCAGAGCGAGCCCAGGAUGUUAAAAGCCGAACACCACCUUGGAGCUCACCCAGUCCAAUCUCUGCUCAGCUUUCCAGAUGCGACAGGGGCCAAGGCUGCAGCACCGCCCCAGGGACGCCCCACAGGCCCCAGGGAGCCCAGCAGGCCGGCACCUCCCCAGGGGGCCCCCUCCACACCUACCACCACCAGAUCGCUACUAUGCAUUUCAAACGCAUCGCCAGCCACUGGUGUUCUUUCCAGCUGCUGCCCCUACAACAAUUAGCCCGGAUGGGACUGUGAAGACCACCUGUCUCCUGCCCUCAGAAGCUCUCCAGACCCCAUCUCCCUGGUCGCUCAGCUGCGGCCUGCGAUCGGCCGGCCUCAGCCCUGCCUCGUCCCACCUUCUAGCACAGAGGCCUAGAAAUCAGGAUUUUAAAAAGAUUCCCAGCACAAAACGGAAGAGAUGAAAGACUGGCCCCAGGCUCCCUGCCUGCCCACGCCACAGGGAAGGAAGACUCUACCCAGGGAGCCUCCACACCGUCACCAGCCUGGCCCCUCUACAGAUACUUCCUGCCAUCACCACCAGCACCAGCACCACCAGCACCAUCACCACCACCACCACCACCAUCAUCACUAUCAUUAUCACCACCACCAGCACCAGCACCAGAACCAGCACCAGCACCAGCACCAUCACCAC